rnacentral:rRNA from 1 species
GACGAACGCUGGCGGCGUGCUUAACACAUGCAAGUCGAACGGAAAGGCCCCCAUCUUGGUGGGGGUGCUCGAGUGGCGAACGGGUGAGUAACACGUGGGUGAUCUGCCCUGUACUUCGGGAUAAGCUUGGGAAACUGGGUCUAAUACCGGGUAGGACCAUGGUUUAGUGUCUCAUGGUGGAAAGAUUAUUGUUUUGGUGCAGGAUGAGCUCGCGGCCUAUCAGCUUGUUGGUGGGGUAAUGGCCUACCAAGGCGUCGACGGGUAGCCGGCCUGAGAGGGUGGACGGCCACAUUGGGACUGAGAUACGGCCCAGACUCCUACGGGAGGCAGCAGUGGGGAAUAUUGCACAAUGGGCGCAAGCCUGAUGCAGCGACGCCGCGUGGGGGAUGACGGCCUUCGGGUUGUAAACUCCUUUCGUUAGGGACGAAGCCACGCUUUUGGGGUGUGGUGACGGUACCUUUGUUAAGAAGCACCGGCUAACUACGUG